CCCUAGGCGGCUCGGGAGCCGGCCCAGCACACCCCACCCAGAGCUGGUCCUCACUCAGGCAGUAAAGCGCGGGCCCAGCGCUGCUCUCAGCCUGGCGCAGGCUGGAUGAGCACCCGAGCAGAAUGGACGCCCUGAAGCUGCCGUGUGCCUCCGAGUCAUGCCCACCGCCUAGAACUGAUGCUGGAGCCUCCUCUGUGACACCCGCGACUGUCUGCAAAGUGUGUGUUAAUUCCCCAGGAGUCUACACGGCCUCCCCAGGAGCACCGAGCUUCUCCCACUUUGAGGGCGACAGCUCAGCUCCGGGUGGGCUGUGAACUCCUGUCUGAUUCUGGUUUUCAGAGAAGAGAAAUACAACCGCGUUCAGAAAAGAGCUGAGGAGGUAGAUGAGGAAGGGGAAGCGUGUGAUCCCGCGUGAGGGCCUCCUACGAAGAGACGGUGGGAACCGGGGCCGGGCCGCAGGCUUUCUCAUCCUCCUUCCGCUCAUGCCCAGAGGACGCGCCCUGUCUCGGGGUGUCCUGAGUCGACCCUCCCAGGUAUCUGCCUCAUGACGUCUACGACGGAGAGGGUCGGGAUGUAACUUUGACUCAAGAAGGUCGACUCUCCCACCCGUGCCUGGGCUUUCGGAUCCCCCGUCUCUCUCAGGUCUCCUGGGCCACGGCGCUGCUCAGAGCGUCGCCUUCAUCUAGAGCUCUCGGCAGCAGAGUUGAUUCCAGCAUGAGCGCCAGCACCACGGAAGGAUCGCAGCAAACGCAGCCUGCGGCGCGGAGCCUUCCAGACGCAGACGCCACAAGCACGGUCGGGUCGGCCACUAGCUGCUCCCAGCCUUGCACCGGCAUCUAAAGCCAACGUCUCAUGGGUUCUCAAAAUGCACACUGGAAAGGAAGCUCGCUUCUCACAGCGCGGGCUUUUAGGGGAGCUAUCGGGACCCUACACGGAGGAGAGGGGCUGCAGGCUGCCCGUGCGGCGGUUCCCAGGGCCGGCAGCAGGCUCUGCACAGUAAGGAGCUGGGCAGCGUGAGGACAAGGCCAGCUCCUGGCAGCCCCAGAGGC
ensembl:lncRNA